AUUGAACGCUGGCGGCAGGCCUAACACAUGCAAGUCGAACGAGUGGCGGACGGGUGAGUAAUGUCUGGGAAACUGCCCGAUGGAGGGGGAUACCUACUGGAUACGGUAGCUAAUACCGCAUCCCAUCGGAUGUGCCCAGAUGGGAGUAGCUAGUAGGUGGGGUAGCGGCUCACCUAGGCGACGAUCCCUAGCUGGUCUGAGAGGAUGACCAGCCACGCGGGAACUGAGACACGGUCCAAACUCCUACGGGAGGCAGCAGUGGGGAAUAUUGCACAAUGGGCGCAAGCCUGAUGCAGCCAUGCCGCGUGUAUGAAGAAGGCCGUCGGGUUGUAAAGUACUUGCAGCGAGGAGGCGUUACUCGCAGAAGAAGCACCGGCUAACUCCGUGCCAGCAGCCGCGGUAAUAC
rnacentral:rRNA from 1 species